ACCUAUGUUAGCAUUAUUGGUCAUUUCCUCCUGGAGGAUACUGACUUACCAAAGACCCUAGAUGUGCUGCACAACCAAAAUGCUUCUGGUCCUGGAUCCUCAGACAUAUCAUGGUGUCUACUAUUUCUGCACCUAAAUAUUAUGUCUAGAACAGAUUUAAUGCAUUGCUUUUUGGGACAAAAAGCCAAAUUUCUAAAUCUCAAAUAGCAAGAGAUGAGGCACAUUGGUGGAGAACAACUGUCUGAUCCUAAUAAUGGAUUCACCUAAUCCUGGGGCCAGUGAAAAGGACGUAAGCUGCUUCAGGAAUUUAAAGAGGAGCAGGGAUUUUAUAUGUGGAAGAAAUAAUGAAGAAGCUUAAAAAAAAAAAGACAUUUCUGUGGAUACAUAUCCCCAAGAAUAACCACCAUACUACUACCAAGUAGCCAACUCAUGAGUCCAGACUGGAAGAAGACAGCUGAAUUUAAUUUUAUAUGGCAUUUCCCAUGAUAUUAUAUUUGCUUCUGCCAAAUGGAUAUGGACAUUUUUAGCUCCGAUUUUCAGUGGUUUGUUUUUUCAUCUUAUCUGUGCUCUGAUGCACAAUUUCAUCUGCUCACACCUGCAUAACCAGCAUGUUGGCUGGGUAGAAAACUGCCACGGCUCCUACUACCACAUGGGACUCUAGUACUAAAUGCUUAAUGGGCCAGUUGCUUCCAAAGAAAGCAAAAGAUUCAUCAGGAUUUAGACUACCUUUAUGGUUGCCUAGGACAAAUAAAAACACCUUUGUUCUGUUUAUGCCAACAUUUCUUCUCUAAUUCUUUUAUUAGAAGCUUUACCCCUUAUUAGAUGGACUACUUAUUUGGUAACUUUCACUAGUACUGUUGUGCCUCAU